AUUGAAGUAAAAAUGCGAGGAAUAACCCUUUUGAAAUUUCUGUCAAUAUAUAUGCACUGGGGAGUGACUAAACUACUUGCAUCUCAAGUCUUUUUUCUCUUUAUCAAUGGGAGUUUUACAUUUUAUACAGUGGGUUGAUUUUCAUUCUGGGUUUUUGUCAUUUGAUGUCAAUACAUCGACACAACUGUUGGAUUUGUUGUUAAUUGGCCGAUGACACUCGGGUACGUGUGACCGACACCUGUACGUUCUGCAUGAUAGAGAGAGAUUGAAAGAUAAGUGAACAAGUGGAUGAGAAUGAACAGAGAAAGGGAGAAGAAGGGUUUUUUUUUUUUUUUUUUCCUUUCCCUUUGUUGUUGUGCUUGACAGGUUGGGGGUGGGUUUUUUUUAGCUGAAAACGGCAUGAUUGUGGAAUUACAAGGUCUUACUUUUGGUACUUUUUUUGCCCUAAAUGGGUGUUUGGUCUUGUUUUCAGAUCUGACUCGUACCUUCAAUUAAAAUUUGUUUUUGUUUCUAAGUGAAACAGUUUCCUUAUAUGGCAAAAGCUUUACCUUCUUUGGGACAGAGAAAUUGACAGAAGAGAGUGAGCACACAGAGGUAUUUGUAUAAAGCUUAUACUAAUGCUUUUGCGUGCUCACUUCUCUUUCCGUCAGCUUCCAGUGCCGGGAGUUGAUUUUUAAUUCCCCGUUUUGGUCAUAUCUCGGCCUGUUUUUGUUCCAUAUAUUCUCUCUCCCUCCAUUCUCAGAAGAGUUCAAUUUGGCUGGCACCAAUGAAGGUGGUUUAGUGGCAAAACGAUGAAUAUGGGACCAUUCACGUUACCUCUUGCCUACUAAUAGCUAGAAGACACUGAUUUUGAGUUUUUGCAACACUGGAUCAAGUUUUGUUCUUUCUACUACUUUGUUCUUGUUGUGUAUCAAACAACUUAAUAUGCUUACAAGUUACAACACUGUACUUUGUUGUAGUCUUUAUUAUUUCUUGUAUCUCCAAAAGCAUUUUCAGCUCUAUAAUUGACUGUAGUAAGGCAAAAACUUCCAUGCAAUCAACAAAUUUCAAACUACAAUAAGAUUAUGUUUUCUUUUAGGAAAUGAAA